GAUGAACGCUGGCUACAGGCUUAACACAUGCAAGUCGAGGGGAAACGACGGGGAAGCUUGCUUCCUUGGGCGUCGACCGGCGCACGGGUGAGUAACGCGUAUCCAACCUGCCUCUGACUGAGGGAUAACCCGUCGAAAGUCGGCCUAAUACCUCAUGGCAUCGUCUGCGGGCAUCCAACGACGAUUAAAGAUUUCAUCGGUCAGGGAUGGGGAUGCGUCUGAUUAGCUUGUUGGCGGGGUAACGGCCCACCAAGGCUACGAUCAGUAGGGGUUCUGAGAGGAAGGUCCCCCACAUUGGAACUGAGACACGGUCCAAACUCCUACGGGAGGUAGCAGUGAGGAAUAUUGGUCAAUGGGCGAGAGCCUGAACCAGCCAAGUAGCGUGCAGGAUGACGGCCCUAUGGGUUGUAAACUGCUUUUAUGCGGGGAUAAAGUGAGGGACGUGUCCUUCAUUGCAGGUACCGCAUGAAUAAGAC
rnacentral:rRNA from 1 species